rnacentral:rRNA from 1 species
UACGUAGGGGGCAAGCGUUGUCCGGAAUUAUUGGGCGUAAAGAGCUCGUAGGCGGUUUGUCGCGUCUGCUGUGAAAACCUAAGGCUCAACCUUGGGCUUGCAGUGGGUACGGGCAGACUAGAGUGCGGUAGGGGUGACUGGAAUUCCUGGUGUAGCGGUGGAAUGCGCAGAUAUCAGGAGGAACACCGAUGGCGAAGGCAGGUCACUGGGCCGCAACUGAACG